GUGAACCUACGGGGCGCAGCAGUGAGGAAUAUUGGUCAAUGGCCGGAAGGCUGAACCAGCCAAGUAGCGUGCAGGAUGACGGCCCUCCGGGUUGUAAACUGCUUUUAGUUGGGAAUAAAAGGGGGCUCGUGAGCCCCGUAUUGUAUGUACCAUCAGAAAAAGGACCGGCUAAUUCCGUGCCAGCAGCCGCGGUAAUACGGAAGGUCCGGGCGUUAUCCGGAUUUAUUGGGUUUAAAGGGAGCGUAGGCCGGCUUUUAAGUCAGCUGUGAAAGUCCGCGGCUCAACCGUGGAAUUGCAAUUGAUAU
rnacentral:rRNA from 1 species